GUGUCAUACUAUUGGUUAGACAGUUUCCCCUUUAAUGAGGUUGACAGUUAAAACUGUCUCUUACAUUAGACUGAGUCACACAGAGGCUCCAGCUGUGCAGAGAACAGACACAAACCUACAACUGAGAUAACAGCAGACUUUACAGCAGUAGAAGUUACAACAGUAGAAGUUACAACAGUAGAAGUUACAGCAGUAGAAGUUACAGCAGUAGAAGAUACAGCAGUAGAAGUUACAACAGUAGAAGUUACAACAGUAGAAGUUACUGCAUUUGAACACACGUGUGUAAAGAUGUCAGAGGAAAUCUAUGAAAACAGCGAUGGAUUUAGAGGCAAAAAAAUAAAUGAAAUAGAGACCAUGGAUUUUAAUGAUCAAAUAUACAACAACGAAAGACCCAUCAUGCCCUGCAAGAAGGAUGGAGUUGGUGAUCAACAUUCAGUGUUUUGUCAGUGGUGGAAGAGAUACUCUGGAGCUGCUGCAGUAUGUCUGGGGUUGCUGUGUGUUCUCCUACUGGCUGGGAUCAUAGGCCUGUUACUCUACCAGAGAAACCAAUUGACCAGUUACAACACCCUGACCAGAGAGAGAGACCAGCUACAGACCAGUUACAACACCCUGACCAAAGAGAGAGACCA